UGCAUGCCGCGAGCAAUAUACUAAAAAAGGAACAAUACAGAGAAGGUUAACAUGGCCUCUGAGCAAAGAUGUCAUGCAAAUUCUGAAAGUGUACCAUGAAAAC
rnacentral:snRNA from 1 species